UAUAACAUAUAACUAUUGUGGCUCUGAUACUGCGAAAGAGCGGUGGAUACACGACUGAAACCUUGAGAAUUAUGACGUUGGUCGUUCCCGUGGGGUAAGAGCUGGUCUUAUUAUAUGAACUAUAUACAGAUUUACCUCUGGAAGCAGAAUUGCGAUAUAGCACAUCGCUACUUGACGUUUAGACAAAGAUGAUUUCGCGUCCCCCCGCCGGGGGACGCCCAAAUGACUUUCUCGUAGCCUCCAGGAUUGACCCAGGAUUCGCGCCGAGUAAUCUAUGUGUGUAAGAGACUACUUAAUGAAGUCGCAGAAUUGGUACGCCUGUGGUGGAUGUGACUGUGAGGGCUCCUACCCACUUUGGUCUAUGCAGCCACCUGCUUGGCUGCUUUGGUGUGCUCAGCACCGCUACAGUACAUGCCAUUACGUUUGGGACACAGGG
rnacentral:lncRNA from 1 species